UCAGAUAUCUGAUUUUGGUCUUUGAAAGUGGUUACCUGAUCAAUGGACUUAUCACAUUGUCUCUAAAGUGGAAGGCACAUUUGGUUGCCUUCCUCCCGAGCUCUUCAUGGACGACGUGGUAAACGAAAAAACCGACGUCUAUGCUUUCGGAGUAAUGCUUUUGGAACUCAUUACCGGGAGGCAAGCCCUCGAUAGCUCGCAGAAAAGCCUUGUUAUGUGGGCAAUGCCUUUGAUCAGAGCGAAUAAGAUCAACGAACUCGUCGAUCCAACACUAGGGGAUGACUACGACCUCGAUCAGUUGAACCUUCUUGUAGCUUCUAUUUGCAUACAUCAGUCCGCAGCGAACCGACCUCGAAUGCG